rnacentral:rRNA from 1 species
GACAGAGGGUGCAAACGUUGUUCGGAAUUACUGGGCGUAAAGCGCGUGUAGGCGGCCCUGCAAGUCGGAUGUGAAAUCCCACGGCUCAACCGUGGAAGUGCAUUCGAAACUGCAGGGCUAGAGUCCUGGAGAGGAAGGUGGAAUGCUUGGUGUAGAGGUGAAAUUCGUAGAUAUCAAGCGGAACACCGGUGGCGAAGGCGGCCUCUGGACAGUGACUGACGCUGAGACGGCGAAAGCGUGGGGAGCAAACAGG